rnacentral:lncRNA from 10 species
GCCACCACGUCCAGCCUCCUGGGAUAUUUCUCAAUGAAACAUUGGAUGCCAAGAUUGGUUUUGUGCCACAUGCCAAUUUCACAGAAGCCAGUCUAUGAGCCACCAGCUCUACUCAGCAAUUACAGUUUCUGGAACUUUGGCUAAAUUCCUGUAGAUGCACCACUGCUUGUGGCCUGACUCUUUGCCACCCAAGUGCGCUCAGCCUCCCCUGGGGAGUCUGCCAGGCUUGCAUGGCUCCCACUGCACUUGCUGUGCUGGGACCGAAAACAGUUUUUGUGCCCCUAGCUUAACUCCACUGGAUUCAUAGAGGCUUUGGCCUCCUCAAUGGCUGUCCUGGGACAGGGAGGCUGGUUAGCACAAUUAACACAACCUGGUCAUGCAAGGCAUUGAUGGUCCGUAACAUGAACUUUGACCAGUAGGAGACAGAGAAUGGAAAAAAGCCAGCAGAUAAAUCAUCUGGCCUUCCUCCCCUAUGACAGACUGUUCUGAGCCACAGUGUUUCACAUGUCUUCCUGGAGAUGUCCCACAUGACUUGAGCAACCAGCUGGAGCUCUGGAGAAACUGUGGCCAUCCUGAGGAAGAAACAGGCCCAGAGAAGUUGGGUAACUCAUCAAAGGUCACAGAGCUAAGAGUGGCAGAGUCAGGCCUGGAGCCCAGGAAGUCUGGUUUCGAAUUUCAUGCUUCUAACCUGAGCACUGUACUGCUUGGUGGAGUUCUCUGCUAGUCCUACCUUUCAGGCAGAGGUGAUGCAGCAAGAAAGCUGCCACCAGAUGCAGCCCCUUGAUCUCGGACUGCCCAGCCUCUAGAACUGUGAGCCAAUUAAAUUUUUCCUUUGUAAAUUA